CUACGGGGUCUGCAGCUGGGGAUAUUGCGCAAUGGGCGAAAGCCUGCCGCAGCGACGCCGCGUGGAGGAUGAAGGGCUAUGGAUUGUAAACUCCUUUUAUCCAGCUUUUCACGGCUGGAUGAAUAAGCCUCUACUAACUACGUGCCAGAAGUCUCGGUAAUACGUAGGAGGCAAGCGUUAUCCGGAUUCAUUGGGUGUAAAGUGUGCGUAGGCUGUCCAGUAAGUCUUUUCUUAAAUGCUGAAGCUUAACUUCAGGAAUGGGAGAGAUACUGUUGGACUUGAGGAUUGAUCGGGGUGCUAGAACAGCUAGUGUAGCAGUGAAAUGCGUUGAUAUUAGCUGGAAUACCAAAGGCGAAGGCAGGCACCUGGAUUUUUCCUGACGUUGAGGCACGAAAGCUAGGGUAGCGAAACGGAUUAGAUACCCUAGUAGUC
rnacentral:rRNA from 1 species